rnacentral:rRNA from 1 species
GUGCCAGCAGCCGCGGUAAUACGGAGGGUGCGAGCGUUAUCCGGAAUUACUGGGUUUAAAGGGUGCGUAGGCGGCUUAAUAAGUCAGAGGUGAAAGGUGGCAGCUUAACUGUCAAAUUGCCUUUGAAACUGUUGAGCUUGAAUCAAGAUGAGGUUGGCGGAAUGUGACAUGUAGCGGUGAAAUGCAUAGAUAUGUCACGGAACACCGAAUGCGAAGGCAGCUGACUGGACUUCGAUUGACGCUGAGGCACGAAAGCGUGGGGAGCGAACAGGAUUAGAUACCCUGGUAGUCC